rnacentral:rRNA from 1 species
GACGAACGCUGGCGGCGUGCCUAACACAUGCAAGUCGAAACGGGGUGAAGAGCUUCGGCUUUUCACUUAGUGGCGAACGGGUGAGUAACGCGUGAGAAACCCUGCCUUUCAGUGGGGGACAACAGUUGGAAACGACUGCUAAUACCGCAUAAUGUAGCGAGACCGCAUGAUCUUGCUACCAAAGCUUUAUGUGCUGAAAGAUGGUCUCGCGUCUGAUUAGCUAGAUGGCGGGGUAACGGCUCACCAUGGCGACGAUCAGUAGCCGGUCUGAGAGGAAGGUCCCCCANACUGGAACUGAGACACGGUCCAGACUCCUACGGGAGGCCAGCAGUGAGGAAUAUUGGGUCAAUGGUCGGAAGACUGAACCAGCCAUGCCGCGUGAAGGUCACGGCCCUAUGGGUCUUAAAC